GACGAACGCUGGCGGCGUGCCUAAUACAUGCAAGUCGAGCGGACUUGACAGAGCUUGCUCUGUUCAAGUUAGCGGCGGACGGGUGAGUAACACGUGGACAACCUGCCCUGCAGAUUGGGAUAACUCCGGGAAACCGGGGCUAAUACCGAAUAACAUUGAAAACCUCAUGGUUUUCUUUUAAAAGGCGGCUUCGGCUGUCACUGCAGGAUGGGACCGCGGCGCAUUAGCUAGUUGGUGAGGUACGGCUCACCAAGGCGACGAUGCGUAGCCGACCUGAGAGGGUGAUCGGCCACACUGGGACUGAGACACGGCCCAGACUCCUACGGGAGGCAGCAGUAGGGAAUCUUCCGCAAUGGACGAAAGUCUGACGGAGCAACGCCGCGUGAGUGAAGAAGGUUUUCGGAUCGUAAAACUCUGUUGUUAGGGAAGAACAAGUAUCGGAGUAACUGCCGGUACCUUGACGGUACCUGACCAGAAAGCCACGGCUAACUACGUGCCAGCCGCCGCAGUAAUAC
rnacentral:rRNA from 1 species